rnacentral:tRNA from 1 species
GGGGAUUUAGCUCAGUUGUAGAGCGUUUGCCUAGAAAGCCAAAGGCCCUGGGUUCCUACCCAGCUCA